GACGAACGCUGGCGGCGUGCCUAAUACAUGCAAGUAGAACGCUGAAGGAGGAGCUUGCUUCUCUGGAUGAGUUGCGAACGGGUGAGUAACGCGUAGGUAACCUGCCUGGUAGCGGGGGAUAACUAUUGGAAACGAUAGCUAAUACCGCAUAAGAGUAGAUGUUGCAUGACAUUUGCUUAAAAGGUGCAAUUGCAUCACUACCAGAUGGACCUGCGUUGUAUUAGCUAGUUGGUGGGGUAACGGCUCACCAAGGCGACGAUACAUAGCCGACCUGAGAGGGUGAUCGGCCACACUGGGGAUGAGACACGGCCCAGACUCCUACGGGAGGCAGCAGUAGGGAAUCUUCGGCAAUGGACGGAAGUCUGACCGAGCAACGCCGCGUGAGUGAAGAAGGUUUUCGGAUCGUAAAGCUCUGUUGUAAGAGAAGAACGAGUGUGAGAGUGGAAAGUUCACACUGUGACGGUAGCUUACCAGAAAGGGACGGCUAACUACGUG
rnacentral:rRNA from 1 species